rnacentral:miRNA from 2 species
CACAGCGCAUACAAUGUGGAUGC